CCUACGGGCGGCAGCAGUGGGGAAUAUUGGACAAUGGGCGAAAGCCUGAUCCAGCCAUGCCGCGUGUGUGAAGAAGGCCUUCGGGUUGUAAAGCACUUUCAGUGGGGAAGAAAGCCUUGGGGCUAAUACCCUCGGGGAAGGACAUCACCCACAGAAGAAGCACCGGCUAACUCCGUGCCAGCAGCCGCGGUAAUACGGAGGGUGCGAGCGUUAAUCGGAAUUACUGGGCGUAAAGCGCGCGUAGGCGGUCUGAUAAGCCGGUUGUGAAAGCCCCGGGCUCAACCUGGGAACGGCAUCCGGAACUGUCAGGCUAGAGUGCAGGAGAGGAAGGUAGAAUUCCCGGUGUAGCGGUGAAAUGCGUAGAGAUCAGGAGGAAUACCAGUGGCGAAGGCGGCCUUCUGGACUGACACUGACGCUGAGGUGCGAAAGCGUGGGUAGCAAACAGGAUUAGAUACCCGAGUAGUC
rnacentral:rRNA from 1 species